rnacentral:rRNA from 1 species
AUUGAACGCUGGCGGCAUGCUUUACACAUGCAAGUCGAACGGCAGCGGGGAGGAGCUUGCUUCUCUGCCGGCGAGUGGCGAACGGGUGAGUAAUACAUCGGCACUUGUCGAGAUGAGGGGGAUAACCACCCGAUAGGGUGGCUAAUACCGCAUAACUUCUGAGGAAGAAAGCUGGGGACCUAGGAAUAGGCCUAGCGCUUUUUAUACGGACGAUGUCGGAUUAGCUUGUUGGUGAGGUAAAGGCUCACCAAGGCGAAGAUCUGUAGCGGGUCUGAGAGGGUGAGCCGCCACACUGGGAUUGUGACCCGGCCCAGACUCCUACGGGAGGCAGCAGUGGGGAAUUUUGGACAAUGGGGGCAAUCCUGAUCCAGGCAUGCCGCGUGUAUGAAGAAGGCCUUAGGAUUGUAAAGUACUUUUGUUAGGGAAGAAAAGUCAGCUGUGAAUAAUGGCUGAUACUGACGGCACCUAAAGAAUAAGCACCGGCUAACUACGUG